GUUCCAGACUCCUACGGGAGGCAGCAGUGAGGAAUAUUGGUCAAUGGGCGCGAGCCUGAACCAGCCAAGUCGCGUGAGGGAAGACGGUCCUAUGGCUUGUAAACCUCUUUUGUCGGGGAGCAAAAGACGCCACGCGUGGCGUUUCGAGAGUACCCGAAGAAAAAGCAUCGGCUAACUCCGUGCCAGCAGCCGCGGUAAUACGGAGGAUGCGAGCGUUAUCCGGUUUUAUUGGGUUUAAAGGGUGCGCAGGCGGAAUGUAAAGUCAGCGGAAAAAUUUCGGGGCGCAACCCCGGCGAGCCGUUGAAACUGGCUGUCUUGAGAUGUCGAGAGGUAUGCGGAAUGCGCAGUGUAGCGGUGAAAUGCUUAGAUAUUGCGCAGAACUCCGAUUGCGAAGGCAGCAUACCGGCGGCGAUCUGACGCUGAGGCACGAAAGCGUGGGUAUCGAACAGGAUUAGAUACCCUAGUA
rnacentral:rRNA from 1 species